GAUGAACGCUGGCGGCGUGCCUAAUACAUGCAAGUAUAACGCUGAAGGAGGAGCUUUCUCUUCUGGAUGAGUUGCGAACGGGUGAGUAACGCGUAGGUAACCUGCCUGGUAGCGGGGUAUAACUAUUGGAAACGAUAGCUAAUACCGCAUGACAACAGUUAUUGCAUGAUAACUGUUUAAAAGGUGCAACUGCUCCACUACCAGAUGGACCUGCGUUUUUUUAGCUAGUUGGUGAGGUAACGGCUCACCAAGGCGACGGUACAUAUCCGACCUGAGAGGGUGAACGGCCAAAAUGGGAGUGAGAAAAGGGCAAGACAGCUACGGGAGGGAGCAGUAGGGAAUCUUAGGAAAUGGACGGAAGACUGAACGAGAAAAGACGAGGGAGUGAAGAAGGAGGUCGGAUCGUAAAGCACUGUUGAAAGAGAAGAAAGAGUGUGAGAGUGGAAAGAACAGAGAGUGACGGUAACUAACAAGAAAGGGACGGCUAACUACGUG
rnacentral:rRNA from 1 species